ensembl:lncRNA
CUCUUCUGGGAAAGGGGAUCUUCUCAGGGAACAAGGGGAGGCUGGCAGAAUAUUUUUCUUUCUUGUGAAAAAAAGGCUAUAAGCCAACUCAAGCUAACACUUGGGUCUUUCCGGACAGCCCGGAAAGGGGCCUUCAAGGCCGUCAAUCACGACGUCCACGACCCAAGCGUGCUGACGUUCGCCUUUGCGUCGAGCCUUCGCCGGAAGCGCGCUUGUGUUGGUGGCUCUGGGCACCCCGGAGAGGGGAGCACAGGUCAUCAUUUGGGAAGAGCUUAUAUUUAUAAUUCCACACAAGAUACUGAACGUAGAACGUCUUUUCCAUUUUGUACAGCACUGACACUGAUACAGAAGAUCCAGGUCAACAUGGCCCUUGGGAGGCUGGUGACUAAGACCAGGGUGCUCAUGCCUGUGGAGGAAGCCAAGAGCUCGUUUGUGGACAGUAUCCAGGAUGAAUCUGUGUAAAAUGCCAAUGAAAAUACUCCCAGUCAAAACAUGAGGUGUGUGGGUGAGCUGUGAACAAAGAAAACGUCAUCACACUGAGAGCUUGAAGUACCAGGAAAGAAAGAUGACCAAGAAGCAAAUGAAGCAUCUGACUGAACAAUGCCAAGGAGGGCUCAGAGACACAAUUCUUAAAAGGGAAAGUACUUGCAAAGAAAACAGAGAAAUCAGACUUCAGAAGGAUUGGCUCCCCAAAUAGAGGACACAGUAAACAUUUGAUCACAUAAACCACAGAGUUAUCAAGGUUUGCAAGUUUAUACUAGUGUGUUAAUGCUGGCCAUGGACAACUUCCUUACAUGACUAUAGUCAUAAAGACCAAGGCAUAUUCUCAGAUAUCAACAUAGCAAAAUCACCAGUAGAAUUGCUUUUGGUUGGAAACCAGGUUUACAGGAUAUUCAAUAUUUUACUUGGUGGUCCAAGCCAGUUAGGGUGGCCUUGUUAUUUUUAUUUUAGAAGGCAAAGUACUUUACUUUUUUCCCAGUUGCUGUCUAUGAAAUGCUCAGUUCUGUUGGCAAUAGCAUAAUGUGUCAGUGUUGGCUUCUUGCAUCCCUCUUUUGGUCAGGUUCCUGCCAUUAAGAUGUAGAUUUGACGGAAGAGUUGACUUGUAGUUGUUGUUUUUAAAUUCAGUAUCAUUAAUUGGUGGUUUUGUGUUAUUUGGUGCAAUUACAUAGGAGUUACUAGAGUGGUUGUUUUCAUAGAAAGUCCUUUUAAUGGUUAUCAAAACUGUAGUCUUAUAACAUAGAGGCCUCAAAGUACACUUUUUGAGGGCAUUUUUUGUUCAGUGCUUAGGGUUUAUGUUCAGAAGUAUUUUAUUGCCCUCAUCAGAUCUGUUGGGAUUGAGAACUGGGAAACUACUUCACUCUACCAGGUCAAGCUGAAGUAACUAUGAUAGUAAGGGUACCCAUGUUGGUCACGGCUCUUGACUCGCAAGGAAGUGAGACUCAAAAUAUGUGUAAGAGGAGGAUUUCAUAAGCCAUAGAGCAGACACCAGGCAAGUUUUCCUGGGAGACAUUUGUGGCUAUCUUUUCCACAUGUGAAUAGUCCUUAUGAGUGGGCAUUUGACACUGAAUUCCAGAAGAAUUAAACAUUUAAAUGUAUAAAGUCUUCUAGAAGUAGAAGACUAUCUUUUUUUAUCUUUGUGUAAGGAAAAAUAGUCAAGACAUAAGAAGUUCUAAUCAGAAAGAUAGACACCUCUGACCUUAUUAAAAUUGAGAACUUCUGUUCAUCAGGAGACACCAAAAAGGAAGGGCAAAAACAAAUUACGAACUGGGAGAAGAUAUUUGCAAUGCCUGUAGCUGAGGAAGAUGGUAGUAUUCAGAUUAAUCCUAUAAAACAAACAGAAAAAGACAACCAAUGCAGGAACUGUCCAAACAGAGAUUUCACAGGGAGAAGAAAUACAAAACGUGAAUAAACAUGAAAAAUUACUCA